rfam:Citrus clementina cultivar Clemenules unplaced genomic scaffold scaffold_3, whole genome shotgun sequence.
AGACAAACGUAGCAUGGUUAUGUGCACAGAAAUUUAAAUUUCAAUUGGAGUCUUCAUGUCUACUCUUGUUGAUGCCUUCUUUCUCUAGGGCUCUGAUUUUGGGGCCUGAUUAUGACCUACAUUG